rnacentral:rRNA from 1 species
CAAUGGGCGCAAGCCUGAUCCAGCAAUGCCGCGUGCAGGAUGAAGGCCUUCGGGUUGUAAACUGCUUUUGUACGGAACGAAAAGCCCUGGGUUAAUACCCUGGGGUCAUGACGGUACCGUAAGAAUAAGCACCGGCUAACUACGUGCCAGCAGCCGCGGUAAUACGUAGGGUGCGAGCGUUAAUCGGAAUUACUGGGCGUAAAGCGUGCGCAGGCGGUUUUGUAAGACAGAGGUGAAAUCCCCGGGCUCAACCUGGGAACUGCCUUUGUGACUGCAAGGCUAGAGUACGGCAGAGGGGGAUGGAAUUCCGCGUGUAGCAGUGAAAUGCGUAGAUAUGCGGAGGAACACCGAUGGCGAAGGCAAUCCCCUGGGCCUGUACUGACGCUCAUGCACGAAAGCGUGGGGAGCAAACAGGAUUAGAUACCCUGGUAGUCCACGCCCUAAACGAUGUCAACUGGUUGUUGGGUCUUAACUGACUCAGUAACGAAGCUAACGCGUGAAGUUGACCGCCUGGGGA